ensembl:miRNA
CGUGUGCGUCCUUUGCUGGAUCCGUUUGAUGGUGGCGCCCUUGGGCCCCACCACCAGCCCCACCACGCGGUAGGGCACGCGCA